UUCGGAACCGUCCGAUUCUGUCUCCGUGCGUUCAUUGGGUUGCCUCAUAUAACUGGGUUUCUUUAUUCGCGUCGGUCCCUCUCCUUAUUCUCUUUCUUUCUCAUAAACCCUAUACGCAACUACUCCUCUUCUUCUUUAUUCGCGUGGUUUCAUGGGAGAGAUCGCUGAUUUUUUGAUUCGAUUAUAUUAUAAUCUCACAGGUCGUUGAAGAAUCCCUGAUGAUUUCACGGAUUUUCCUUUUUGAGGUCUUUGAAGCGAAAUUUGAAGGAAUCGGGAGCAGUUUUGAGAUCGAGGGAUACAGAUAAAGCUUAAGAAAGGGAUGAUGAUGGUUGUGCUGAUUGUUUUGGUCGACUAAAACUCAUGGGAAGGUAAAUCAGAAUACAUAAAUUAGGAUUUGUCAAUUGACUCUUGAAUUUAAUUAUAAACUAAUUAGUGAUGGGUUUGUUCUUAAUUGAAGAAUAGAGAAUUCUAUAGGGUUCAAUUUUAGUUUCUUUUGGAAAUUGAAAUCUUAAGUUAGGGUUUUUGUGAAUUGAAUCAGAAAUUUUGGGCAAAGUUGAAUCAGAAGGAAAAGAAGAAACAUGCUAAAACCCUAUAAUUGUUAUCUCUGCAGGGGUUUCUUAGGUCUGAAUUCGAUCUAAACUAAUGUAAUACGGUUACCAAUUAUGAUAAUUAGGAUUGAAAUCUUAACUUUACGCCCAAUUUUUAUUGAUUCGAUACUUUGAAACUCACUUGCUGGGGUUGCUGUUGGUGCUGGAUGGCAAAGUGUCAUAGCUUAUGUGAACCUAGCCUGCUAUUACUUGGUCAGAAUUCCUCUUCAAAUGAUCCUCGGUUACCUUAUCGAUUUUCAAGUUACAGUAAUUUGUUUACUAAAAGUUUGUCUAUGCUAAACCAUAAAGUAAUCCUGAGUGAUAUAGCCAGCAAGUACUCUGAUGGUAAACAACGGCUGUGUGACGGUGUGAGGUCAGUCUUAUUAUCUACUUUAAGUCUCUGCACCUAUUGGAAAAAGUGCUAUUUAAAAAAGUACAGCAGAAAACGUUGCUUCCAAUGAGAUACGGUUUUCUGACUUUAAUUGGUCAAGUGCUACUUUGUUUGAAACUAAUUCGAGUAUGCUAUUGUAUCUAAUGUAUAGCUUCCUUGCCUACCGAAUCUUCCACCCACCGUGGAAGACUUGAUGCAGACUUGAGUAUCAUCAAUACUUCAUUGGGAACGCCAAUUCAAAAGGGAUUGUUACUGAAUUUGUCAGUUCAAGUGUACUGGAAUUUUUUUCUUUCGUAUUUUUUUCCAGCAAGAUAAUUUGCUGGAAUGUAGUGUGUAUGGGGUUGCAACGGCCUAGAGGGUUAUUCAAGUGAUAGUAUAGUUGUAUUAUGGGAUCAAGAGCAAUGUAGUCAAUAUCGAAUUUCGGAUUGUCUCGGCCUGGACCGAGACACUGGUACAACUUUGUAUCGGGGGAAUUUCGGUUCCAAAUCUCGGUGCAAUCUCCGUUUUAGAUUUUAUAUUAAUAUUACAUUUCUAAUAAGUAUUAGACGUUGGAUCUAAAAUUUUAUUUCCACCGUCAACCGUAUCAAACCUAGUUUCCUCCGUCUUUAACCUACAAGGCUUGAAUUCCUAAAAAGCAAAACCUAUUUCAGAUUUCGCAUUUUUUUCGUCCCCGUUUCUUCCCGACUCUCUUCACUUUCUUUUAUCUCCUCUCCUUUUUCUUCCCCACGCUUUCUAAUCUGUUUCUCCCGUUUUUAAGUUAGACGCACACAACCAUUCAACCAUCCAUGAAGAAAAGGUUGAAAACAUUCAACCAUAUCAAUUAGCCGUUAGAUAGGAUGAUGUAUAUAGAUUAUAUAAACUAAUUAGCUGUUAGUAAAAUAUUCUCGAUUAAUAUUGAUUGAUGUACUGUAGUUAAUCCUAAAGGGUUUCCCAAGCAUAUACAAUCAACAAAGAUUUCAUUCAGUUAAGGCCUUUUCUCUCUGUUAUCAUAGCUUUCAUUUCUUUUUUUGUGUUAUAGGAAUUAAAGAUGCUCAUUUGAUUGAAUUAUUGUCAUAAACUUUAUGAUAUAUCAUUAGCUAUGCUUAAAUUUUUGCACCGAUAAGGAUCCCAUCGUUUACUUUUGGUUGUAGUUAGUUAAUGAAAUUGGAAAAAGAAAAUAUACUAUAAAAUAAACAAUUCCGGCCGAGAACACCGGUUUUGACCGAGACUUACUGAUUCCGGCCGAGAUACCCUGCCAAAUCUCGUUUCAGCGAGAUUUUGAUAUUCGUCUGUUUCAAAAGCGAUAUCCGAAAUCUCGCCGAAAUUUCGGCCGAGACAGCCGAAAUCGACUACACUGAUCAAGAGUUAUUGAAUUCUUCACCUAAUACAAACUUAUACCAGCCUGUGGAGGUUAAUGUUUGUGGUUGCAAUAGAGGCUUGGUUGCGGAUUUGGAUUUUGUUUUUGAUUGUUCUUCCACCAGAUGAAUCAAAAUACUUCACUUAUAAUAAGUAGGAUCAUCCAGACAGGUAGUCAAUUUGAAGGUACAGAGGCCCCAUCAUAGUAAAGGUUGGAAACAAGGACGGCAAACUGUUGGCAUUUACAAAUUAUUGAUCUGGUGACAUUUUGCGUAAUGCUGGAAGGCCAGCUAUUUUCCUAUAGGUUGAUAACACUGCCAACAGACCUCUUUAAGGGAAUCUUGAUUUGCGCUUUUUUCACUUUCUGUAUGCAUGGAAAUCCGCUAGGGGAAUCCAAAUACUACCCACAUCUAGGGAGUCUUUUAACGUAUGUACUCAAGCUAAGAGGAAUUUAGUUCCACCUUCAAGUAGUGCUAUUUAAUUGUUAAAUUUUUCUGCUUUUGGCAGUGCUGCAGGAUGUCAUGGCUCAUCUGAUCAGGACCAUGGAGAUAGAUGCUCAUCGAAGGACAUCAACUCUGUCUGCCACCCGUAUAACAAAACUUAAAAAUUGUUAAUGAUCUUCAAGUACGUGGACUUUGUAAGCAGCGUCUGCAGGCAUCAAGUAUGUGGACUUCGUACGCAUACAUUUUGAUUGACAAAAAGUUGCUUGCGUUUGGCUCAUUUUAUAUUUCUGUAGUUUGUUACAAGAUCUGAAAGUCUAUAUUAAUGGGAGAAUGGUUGGAAAUGUAUGAAGCUAAUAGUUUGUGCAAACUAACUGUAACCGUCUAUGACCGAAGCGUGAAGGUAACAAACACGAGAACGAGAUAUAGGAUUUUCAUUCCUACUUAACUUGGAUGGAACUAAUAUGUGCAUUUUUUAGAGGUAUGUCAACAUAUUCAUAUCCAUAUGCUUAUGUUUCACGACUACAGUGUUAGCACCAUUUUUUCUUGAUUACGGUAGUGGUUCGUCAGUUUGGUUAUACAUAAAAACAUGAAUUAUGAUCACUUAGAAUAGAAUAGAAAACCCUCCCAUAUUUCAUAACUCCCCAUACCAUUGAUUGUCGUCUUAGCUCAAUUAGUAAGCGCGUGGCAUUCUGCAACAAGGGUGUGGGUUCGAUUCCCACAGACGGAAAUAUUGGGGCAUUGAUGAACCAGUAGAAUCAUCAAGAAAAUAAGUAAAGGAGAAUGAUUUAGGAUCACAAUUGGGUUCUUUACAGUAAAUGAGUUCUCUACUGGAAUGAUUUAGCUUAAUUAGUCACAGUGUGGCCUGUUGAUGAAAAAUAGGACUGUCUGGAGGAGAAAGUGUACUGGAAUGGAUGACAUGGUGGUUUGGGUACCUGAAGUUUGUUAAUAAUAUUGGCAGAAAUUGUUAAUUUUGCUGUUUGAAAAACAAAAAAUGGAUGCAAAUAAAUUGGAUAGGUUAAGAAAAGUAGGGGAAAAUGCCUUUCAGUUUUAAAUGUAAUGGGCACUAUAGGACUAAAAACAUUAUCAAAAAUGCGCAAAGCGCACUAGGAUUUCCGUUUUGCAGGAAAAAAUUGUUUUAAAAUUUAACUGAUCGUGUCAUUUGUUGUCUAUUGGUUCAUACACCAGAUGAAUCCAAACUCUAUACAUAUAGUAUUUGCAUUGGUGCGAUGUGGUAUGUUAAUUAAUUGGACCCUGUGUAGAUAUCAUUAUUUUUUUAUUAUUUACCUUUGUGGGAUUGAGAGGGUUUAAAACAACUACGUGGUCAAGAAUAAGUAUGCAUAUAUGCUUAUGAUUAGAAGUGGGAAACACGUUCGAUGGGGUUUGUCAUAAAAGAACAUCUAGCAUUGCCCAUGCUUUGGCACUGCACAAGGAUAACAGUUACUUGGAUGAGCCUACUAUGGAAUAUUUGAAGAAAAUGAAGGGAAGAGAUGAUUCGGAAUAAGAGUGCAUUGAAGGUAUGUCAACUAUUCGUAUCCGACUCUUUUCUGAAUAAGAUUUUUCUUUACUAAAAGCAUAUUGUACUCGGUUGGUGAAGGCUUAUGUUUGAUGUGGUUCUAUCUUAGUAUACGUAGGAAAUAUACUACCUGCAUCCUAUAUCGGUUUACCGUUUGGGCCUCGGUAUACUACUUUGCAUUCAUUCUUAGAAUAAUACUCUUCAAAAGCUAAUCAGAGAAAUUCCUUCAGAAUUAAAGUUUGACAAACUCUCUUCAUAAUGAUUUCAGUCUGCUUUUCCCGAGACCUAAAGGCUGCUCAGUUUGUUUAUUCUCCAUGGAAUAUCAUUCACUGAGUGAUGAUUUUUAGGACUACUCUGCAAAACCCUAAGCGUAAUUCUAUUCAGUACCCAGUACUAUUAUAGCUUAA